GACAGAGGCCUCGAGCGUUAGGCGGAAUCACUGGGCUUAAAGCGUGUGUAGGCGGACGCCUAAGUACCUUGUGAAAUCCCACGGCUCACCCGUGGAACCGCUGGGUAUACUGGGCGUCUUGGGCCAUUCAGGGGCGACUGGAACAAGCGGUGGAGCGGUGAAAUGCGUAGAUAUCGCUUGGAACGCCGACGGUGAAAACAGGUCGCUGGGAAUGCGCCGACGCUGAGACACGAAAGCCAGGGGAGCAAACGGG
rnacentral:rRNA from 1 species